GUCUGUAUGUAUGUAUAUAUGUAUGUAUGCCAGUGUGAAUGAAUGUAUGUCUGUGUAUGUCCUCAUGCAUGCGUGUCUGUAUGUAUGUUAGUAUGGGUCUAUAUGUCACUAUGUAUGCCUGUGUGUCUGUAUAUGUGUGUAUGUCUCAGUAUGUGUGUGUGUCAGUAUGUAUGCCUAUAUGCGUGUAUGUCUGUUUCAGUAUGUGUGUCUGUUAGUAUGUAUCUGUGUGUGUAUCUGUGUCCUUUUGUAUCAGUGUGUGUUUUUGUGUCUGUGUGUGUAUUCCUG